UACGUAGGGGGCAAGCGUUAUCCGGAUUUACUGGGUGUACAGGGAGCGUAGACGGCGAUGCAAGCCAGAUGUGAAAGCCCGGGGCUCAACCCCGGGACUGCAUUUGGGACUGUAUAGCUAGAGUGUCGGAGAGGCAGGCGGAAUUCCUAGUGUAGCGGUGAAAUGCGUAGAUAUUAGGAGGAACACCAGUGGCGAAGGCGGCCUGCUGGACGAUGACUGACGUUGAGGCUCGAAAGCGUGGGGAGCAAACAGG
rnacentral:rRNA from 1 species